UUAAUUGAAUCUCCCAUCGGUGUGGCUACCUCUAUAAUGUAUUCUAAUUGUUCUGAUUCUACCUUUAAGUGGCAUGCAAAGUGUUGUGACACAAAUGAAUGAGUAGAUCCAGGAUCAAUCAAAAUAUGAGCUACUUUUUGGAAGAUAGUAAGAGUACCUUGGAUCACUGAUUUUGAGGCCUGAGCGUCUUGCUCGGUAAUCGCAAAUACUCUUCCCUUCAUCUGAGGCAUCGGAGCUAUCUCUCCCUGCUUUGGAAGCUGUUGUGUCUGUAAGCUAAGACAUUGUUUAAUCUGGUGUCCCAAUUUUCCACAUUUAAAACAGGCUCCGGUAUUCCAAUAACAAGGGCUUGAUCCAUGAUUUUUC
rnacentral:lncRNA from 1 species